CCCAGCUGGUGACUUUUAUUGGUGGGAGGGGCUGUUCCAGGCCCGGACGCCUGGGUCCCUCCAGCGCUUCUGCCCUUCCCUCGCCCAGACGCCUGGGUCCCUGAGGCCACGUGUCCCCUCCCCGCUGCUUCCCCACAGGCUGCUCCAGGCAUCCAGGCUCUGCUGAGCCACGCUUGGAGCACACGUGUGGACCCGUGUCCUUGGUGUGUCCUCGGUAUGUCACCACCCUUGUCCCUAGCAUGUCCUCAUGCUGGCUGUGGCGUGUCCCAGGCGUGUCCCUAUCCGUGUCCAUGUGUGUCCCCAUGCUGGCUGUGGCGUGUCCCUAUCCAUGUCCAUGCGUGUCCCCAUGCUGGUUGUGGCAUCUCAGGCGCGUUCCUGCAGUGGCUGUAGCAUGUCCCAGGCAUGUCCCUAUCCAUGUCCAUGCGUGUCCCCAUGCUGGCUGUGGCGUGUCCAUGCAAUGGCUGUGGCAUGUCCCUAUCCAUGUCCAUGCGUGUCCUCAUGCUGGCUGUGGCGUGUCCAAGGCGUGUCCCCAUCCAUGUCCCCAUGGUGGCCAUGGCGUGUCCCUAGCCAUGUCCUUCCAUGGCCCGCCAUGGUGGUGGCCGUGUCCCCAGGAUGCUGGUGGCCGCAGCCCCGUCCUUGCAUGUCCCCCGCGGCAGCGUUGGCGUGUCCCAGUCCAUGUUCUUGCGUGUCCCCCGCAGCAGCGUUGGCGUGUCCUUGGCGUGUCCCCCGUGGUGGCCGUGUCCCCGCAGUAGCCGCAUUCCCAGGGGUCAUGAUGACCCCACGGUGGCCGUGUCCCCAUGUCAGCCAUGUCCUUGUGUCCCCCGGAUCCCCAUGGUCCCCAAAUCCCCAUCCCCUGGUCCCCAUGUCCCCAUCUCCCAGCAUUCCCAUGGUGGCCAUGUCCCCCAUGUCACCAUCCCCUUGGGUCCCCAUGGUGGCCAUGCCCCAGUGGCCACGUCCCCCUGUGUCCUCAUGUCCUACUGUCCCCACAGUGGUCAAGUCCUGGAGGCCCUGUCCCCCCAUGUCCCCAAUGUCCCCAUGUCCUAGUGCCCCUGUCCCCAUGUCUCCCAGUCCUGGUGUCCCCCUGGGCCCCAGGUCACCAUCCCCCCGUGUCCUCAUGGUGGCCAUGUCCCCAAGGUGGCUGCGUCCCCCCAUUCCCCCCCCCGCAUCCCCCCAAUGUCCCCACGUCCCCAUGUCCGUCAGUGGCGCAGGGCCGCGUACUCCACGGUGUCCUCGGCAUCCCCGGUGUCCCCGUGGCGUCCCCGCGGUGUCCCCGGGGGGGACAGGGCCAGGGCGGCGUAGAGCAGGGUCCCUUCCUCGUCCCCGUGUCCGGGGGGGACAUUCUCAUAGUCGGGACCCUCAGGGGCCUGUGGGGACACGGGUGGCAUCGGAGGGGGACACGGGCACAGGACAUAGGGAUGGGGAUGGGACAUGGGG
rnacentral:lncRNA from 1 species